rnacentral:misc_RNA from 1 species
UUUAAUAACAAUCGAUGUGUUGCUUUUAUUAGUAAUACAACGGAAUUGAGUUAUCUUAACCUUUAGGUUUAAGAGGCUUAAAAUUAAAUUAAUUUUGUAUUUAAAACGAAUUUAGAAUUUUCUAUGCGUUUCGGAUGCAAUAAUUUUAUUAGGUAUGAUCAUUUUUCAUGAUAUCAUACUCAUAAUUUUUUCAAC